rnacentral:misc_RNA from 1 species
CUACCCUGGAGCCACGCUCUGUGAUGGGCCCCGUCCUCGCGGACGGGCCCGAAACCCGUGGGCGCCGUCGUCCGGCCCUGAGCGUAGCAAGAGAAAUCCCUCGCUCGGAGUGCCUGGCGGCCGGUCGCCCCGAACCCAUUUUUACAAG